rnacentral:rRNA from 1 species
UACAGGGGUGCAAAGCGUUGCUCGGAAUUAUUGGGCGUAAAGCGCGCGUAGGCGGCUACCUAAGUCGGAUGUGAAAGCCCCUGGCUUAACUGGGGAAGUGCACCCGAAACUGAGUAGCUAGAGUGCGAAAGAGGGUCGCGGAAUUCCCGGUGUAGAGGUGAAAUUCGUAGAUAUCGGGAAGGAACACCGGUGGCGAAGGCGGCGACCUGGGUCGACACUGACGCUGAGGCGCGAAAGCGUGGGGAGCAAACAGG